GGCUGAUAUUUGACAGACUUGGAGCAGUUACUGUCUGCUGCCAAAUUUUCCAGGACAAAAGCAAGAAAAAGUGUCCUCAUACUUUCUGUCUGCCUGAUUGUGGCAGGCAAGAUUGAAUGGGGGAAUACAGGG